GUCUAUAGCCUUGCUACCCUGACCAAGCCCGAUUCUGUCUGAUCUCAGAAGCUAAGCAAGGUCAGGCCUGGUUAGUACUUGGAUGGGAGACCACCUAGGAAGACCAGAUGCUAUAGGCG
rnacentral:rRNA from 1 species